CACAUGGAGAGUGAGAAAACUGCAGCCCGCCUUUCCGAGCCUCCCGAGGGAUUAUCCAGCUUGCCGUGUGCAGGAUCUCUCUCCCCGAUGCCUACACAACUGUAACCAGGCAAGCUCACAGUGUGGGAAGCAAUCUGUACCACAGAUGGACUGCAAAAACACGUGGUCUGGCUUUCUGAAGGCAAGACCCUGCUAUACACCUCCUGCUAAAACCAAGCCAAUGCUGCAGCUUGGAACUGGAAGCACCAAAAAAGCCCCCAGAACAUCGACCCAGCGCCCCAAACGCAGCACCACUCAAAAAUAUUACUUUGAAUGAUCAGGGAAAAAGCACUUCUGUUCUGCUCUGUACGCAGCCACUUACUGCCUGAAUUCCCUGGCUUCAUUCAGCACUGGUGUGACACAACACUCCCCCUUCCACCCUGAAAUGCCUUACUUGUGUUUCAUCCCACGAGGACGGCACUGCUAGAGCA